rnacentral:hammerhead_ribozyme from 1 species
AUCCAUCUGACGAAUCCCGAAUAGGAUGAAAUGAACGUCCUGGAU